AGCACAUAGAGCCACGGGGGACUGCCUCGCCAUCCCCACCGCGGCGGCCGCUCUGUUCUUCCACAUACGCGCACCACGGUCCGCGGCGGCGACUCUGGACCGGCGAGAUGUCCACCGACGGCCUCGAGCUCGACGGCGCCGGCCGGUUGGAAUGGUUCUCUCCACCCAGUGGAGUCACAGGAUUCCAUGAGUGCGGCCGAGGUCGAGAUCGACAAGGGCGGCAAAGCACAGCAAGAUGGAGAUGCAGCCAGGUACGAGGUGUGCUCUGAAGCUACGAGUGGUUGGACACGAAGGUUAGUGAGAAAUCCUUUGUGAUUUUGCAUCUGUUCAGCAGGGUUUGCAUCGUACCUGUAUCAGUUAGUUGAUUUUGGCUUGCUAGCUUAGCAGUUCAUCCCAAGGGAAGUUUUGUGUCUGGACACGAGUAUUUCGUCUAGCAUGCAGUUUAGUUUCUGUCCAUUGUCGGUGGUACAAAUUCGGUUGGCUUUACACUUAUGGUUGGUAGUUCAAGUUGUGGUUGUUUGCAUAUAUAUAGUGAUCUAAAAGCUAAUUGGGUGACAGACUGACAGUUCGAUUUUCAAUAGUUAUGUGUGGUGGUUCGAUUUCACCACAUAUGGUGUUAGUUUCCAGAUGUUUUUAGGUGCAAAGUGGGGUGGGUAUGGUAGUGCUAAUUGGUUUGUCAGUAUACACUUCUUGGUUUUAGUUUCAAUGCUAAUUGGAUUGUCAGAUCAUAUACUUUUUUGGGGCACGUGAUCCUAAGCUGGGUGCUAAUUUGGAUUUGUUAAUGGAUGUAGGAUUUGGGGACGUGAGGAAAUGGGACUAGGUCAAGCUUUCAUUCAGUUUCUUAGCAUUCUUGGUACAUGACCAAAGUGGGAUUCAGUGCAUGUCCAAAUGGAUUACCCCGACAAAAAUGUGAUUGCCAUCAGAUUUAGGUUGGUGUCAAUCAGUAGGAGAAAUCUUGUGUGUGAUGAGCUUCGAUUCACUAGAAGGCGCAGGGGGGCUUUUUUGAUUUGUAGGUGGAUCGCCUGAGAGCAUAACUGAUUUUUUUGGCAAAAAUGAAUUUGAUUUGGUAUUAGCGUUCGCAUUUACAUAAUUGUAGUAAGAAUCUGAACAAAUCAGAGUCACUAUCACCAUUUUAUUGUGUGUCUUGGUUUUGUUACUUACUGGACGGUUCGCUCGAGGAAUGCUGAGGCAAACUGAUUGUGCAUAGGUUGUUGUUUUCAGUAAAUUGGCAUGUUUUUUAGAUUACCCUGUUAUCUACCAGAGCGAUAUUCAAAAUGGUUGUUCCAUACAAAGAUUACUUGGCAUGGCAUGCCCUUUAUUCAAUUCCCAGACCGCCCUGACAAAUUUUUGUUUCUAAUAUGUUCUGUCGAGAAACGGUUUCCAGGGAUAGAAUCGGGAAAGCGCUAGAUGAGAGGGAGAUGAACCCUGAGAAACAACGCUUGAAUUGUCUGUUUGCACUUAUGCCGAAGUGCACAAACUGUGGGGUGGUUGGACAUCGCAGCAAUGCAUGCGGUACUAAAAAGAGCUGACCGUUUGAGCCUAACUUCCUCUAGAUUGAAACUGGCUGUGAUGUUUGAUGCCAUCAAGUCUCCAUGUGGUUGUGUGGUGGUAAUUUCUCUAUUUGGCAUGUCUGAAUUUUAAUUUGUGCUACCAACAGUAAUUCUCCCGAUGUCUGUUAACUUCAUCUGAACAAUUUUGCUGUGUGAUUGCAGUUCUGUUGCUUGGUCAACUAAAAUUUUAGUUUUACUACUGAUGGGGUGGCCUGUUCUUAUUUUUGUCAAAAACUG
rnacentral:rRNA from 1 species